GACGAACGCUGGCGGCGUUCUUAACACAUGCAAGUCGAACGGAAAGGCCUCUUUCGGGGGGUACUCGAGUGGCGAACGGGUGAGUAACACGUGAGUAACCUGCCCUUGACUUUGGGAUAACUUCAGGAAACUGGGGCUAAUACCGGAUAGGAGCUCCUGCUGCAUGGUGGGGGUUGGAAAGUUUCGGCGGUUGGGGAUGGACUCGCGGCUUAUCAGCUUGUUGGUGGGGUAGUGGCUUACCAAGGCUUUGACGGGUAGCCGGCCUGAGAGGGUGACCGGCCACAGUGGGACUGAGAUACGGCCCAGACUCCUACGGGAGGCAGCAGUGGGGAAUAUUGCACAAGGGGUGGAAGCCGGAUGCAGCAACGCCGUGUGCGGGAUGACGGCCUUCGGGUUGUAAACCGCUUUCGCUCAUGACGAAGCUUUGUGUGACGGUAGUGGGUAAAGAAGCACCGGCUAACUACGUG
rnacentral:rRNA from 1 species